CUGAACUUGACAAAAUGCUUGCGGAUGG
rnacentral:piRNA from 1 species